rnacentral:sRNA from 1 species
GGCGGGGUACUGCUGAGUCCUUUCCUGUUGGAUGUGGUGCUGGCGCUGGCGGUGACCGGCGUGCUGCGUUUGCUGGUGCAGGCCACGGUGCUGGGACGCUGGAUCUGGCACGAAGCGUUGUUCGACACGGCGCUG